rnacentral:rRNA from 1 species
UACGGGGGGGGCAAGCGUUGUUCGGAAUUACUGGGCGUAAAGAGCUCGUAGGUGGUUUGUCGCGUUGUCCGUGAAAACUCACAGCUCAACUGUGGGCGUGCGGGCGAUACGGGCAGACUGGAGUACUGCAGGGGAGACUGGAAUUCCUGGUGUAGCGGUGGAAUGCGCAGAUAUCAGGAGGAACACCGGUGGCGAAGGCGGGUCUCUGGGCAGUAACUGACGCUGAGGAGCGAAAGCGUGGGGAGCAAACAGG